CUUGUAAUUGCUGGUCCCACAUCCAGGCUGAGGAAUCAUCUCAUGUGGUGUUUGGGAGGGAGUGCAACUUCAGCCUCCGUCAGAGGACCUCAGCUGCCCCAGCGAACAGGGCCUUCUGUACAGGGAAUGGGCUCCUCCUCAAAGCAUAGACAAGAAGCAGCCCUUAGAUCUCAUCAGGAAAUUCUACAGAGAGAAGGUCGGAAUCUACUUUGCUUGGCUGGGCUAUUACAGUCAGAUGCUCCUCCUGGCAGCAGUCGUGGGGGUGACUUGCUUUCUGUAUGGAUAU